CCCUUAGAUGUUCUGGGCCGCACGCGCGCUACACUGACGAUGGCAACGAGUUUUUCCUUCGCCGAAAGGUGUGGGUAAUCUUUUGAAACAUCGUCGUGCUGGGGAUAGAUCAUUGCAAUUUUUGAUCUUGAACGAGGAAUUCCUAGUAAGCGCGAGUCAUCAGCUCGCGUUGAUUACGUCCCUGCCCUUUGUACACACCGCCCGUCGCUACUACCGAUUGAAUGGUUUAGUGAGGACUCCUGAUUUGCGCCGCCGCCCCGGCAACGGAGCAGCGGACUGCCGAAAAGUUGUUCAAACUUGAUCAUUUAGAGGAAGUAAAAGUCGUAACA
rnacentral:rRNA from 1 species